UACAACACAGGUUGGGGUUAUUAUAUACAGAUUGCAAUUAUCGUCCGAUCCUCACGAAAAUUUUCACAGGGGUAGGGUUAGGCUCAGAAAGGGUUGGGCCUAUUUUUUCAAAGAUGUCCGCAACAUAUUAGGGGUUGAAAUUGACCAACAACUAAAAAUUUUCCUGAUUUUGCAGCCGUUAUAAAGGUCACAAGUAAAAACCAAAGGACACGAAAUCUCACAUGAAGUUAGAGUUUAGGACAGCGGGUAGAAUGGACCACUACUUUUGUGUGAAAAAAUACUAACAUUACUUACAGGCGAUAUCCGAAAUAAACAAAAGGCGAACUUCUGGCUUUUUUUAUGCGGUUUUCAUUGACGAAUAUUGCAGCAUAUCGUAUACAAGCAAAUCAUAUAGAUGAGUCUAAAUUUGAGAUACAGAGGGGGCUAUUGCAUUUUUUUUUUUGCAUUUGAGAUGAUCGCAAAAUAUUUAGGGGUUCGAAUGAACCAAAAACAGAUUUUUUCCAAAAUAGAUUUGGACAUAAGAGGUCUUCUAACAUAUUGUAGUGUUGUAGGUUAUCACAUGGUCGGCCCCGCACGACUAUAGCCUUUGCUUACUUGUUUUUUCAUUUCAUUUAUUUACCUUACAAAGUAAUAAUAUAAACUCACUAAACAGAGUAUAAUUAGUAACUUACAUUAAAACACCCUACAAAUAAUUUAAAUUAAUUAAUAUAGUGGUUCCACAGCCCAACAAAAGGAACAAGUAAAAAAGCUGUAAGUUCGGCCGGGCCGAACUUUGAAUACCCUCCACCAUUUGGUACAAAUUUAACAACUUUCCAAAAAAAUAAAAUCUGUUAAAAAUUCUGUUAAAAUCUUGAAAAUACCUAAUGUAGCCGUAUAUUAGAGUCUAUACGACGACGUGGACCUGUAUAGGCAACUUUUGUCACAAGCUAUUACAAUAUUCAAAUGCGAAACUUGAAAAAAAAAUCUGUUUAUAAUGUAGCUAAAAUCAUAAAAAUACCGAAUAUCGGGGGGUACCGUUACAUGGGGGCUAUACGAAGACGUGGUCUUACAUGGCCCAUUUUCUGUUUUUUGCUGUAGUAUCCAUUACGAGCUUCAAAUACCACAAAUGAAACAAUUCUGGCAAAUAAUGUCGUUAAAAUCAUCAAAAUACCGAAUAUCGGGAGGUACCGUUAUAUGGGCGCAAUACGAAGACGUGGACCUGCACAGACAAUUUUCUGUCAUAGGCUAUAGUAUUCAUUACGAAUUUCAAAUACCAAAUUUGAAAUAGUUCCGGUAAAUAAUGUCGCUAAAAUCAUCAAAAUACCGAAUAUCGGGAGGUACCGUUAUAUAGGGGCUAUACAUCGUCAUUUAGACCCUAAUUAACAGAAUUUUUUAUUAACAGAUUUUUUUUUUUGAAAAUUGCCAAAUUCGUUCCAAAUGGUGGAGGGAAUUCAAAGUUCGACCCGGCCGAACUUACAGCUUUUUUAACUUGUUAUUAUUAAAAUCAACAUUUUCUGAACCUUGUAUAUAUUGUUCAGCAUCACUUGUUGACUUUCCUGUCGAUCGCAGCAUUGGAAAAAUAAACUUGAUGUUAAACAACAAUACUUCCCAUUUUCAAAUAACUAUUCUUAAGUAAAUAUAGUCGAUUAAAAAUGACUAGUAAGCUUAUACUUUUUCAUAUGCUCCAAAAGCGAUGACAAUAAACCAAGUUGCGUGCAAACCACUACUGCCACCGCCCUAAACAGCCAUUGUAGCUACGGUAACGAUUUAAAGGAAAAAUCACCCUGAGACAUGGUACAAUGAAAUCAAGGUAGGACUCUGCUACCAAUCGAUUUUAAUUAGUAUCUGUAGUAUCUAUUACAAACUUCAAAUAGCAAAUUUGAAACAAUUCCGGUAAAUAAUGAUCAUCAAAAUACCGAAUAUCGGGAGGUACCGUUAUAUGGGGGCUAUACGAAGAGUGAUUUCCACAGACGGACGGACAUUAAUAAAUUGACAUAGAAUUUUAUGCUGAUCAGGAAUAUAUAUACUUUGUGGGGUCUAAAAUGUAUAUUUCGAGAUGUUACAAAACGGAAUGACAAACUUAAUAUACCCUCCAUACUAUGGUGGAGGGUAUAAAAACCCAUAAUAAACCGACGCAACCACUACAAAAACAUAGCCUACAUAUUUAGGCGAAGGCACUCAAUUACUUUAAACCUAAACAGAUAAUUGGUAUAGGCAAAAGUACGUAAGGCUAAAGGAAGCGGGUUCCACAAUCUCACCGCCCUAACAACAAAGGAUCUCUCACCAAUGGAGGACGAAAACCUUGGACACAACAAUUGAGAAUUUCGAGAUGAUCUACAAAACACAAAGUCGUCACGAAGAGGUCGCUUGCGCCAUUUAAAGUACACAAGAUCUCUAAACAUCCGUGCCGAUUUCACCACAUCAGAUUCCAACCAUGCAUCAUUCCUGGGGUUGACCUUACGAACAGAAACAGGAACGAAAGACAAUCUAAAAAUACAGUCAGGUUAAGCAAACCAAAAACAAAGGCAAGGUGUGAUAUACCAGGACGAGAAACCCAACGACAAAUUAUCACUAAUAAGGCAAAAAUCAAUUAACGAGGUAGAGUUAUGGGCCAAAUCAUAAUGGAGUUCGAAGACACAAAUAAAUUACAGUUAAAAUCACCAAGGACAAUUAUAUUAGAGAAGCGACCAAUCAAACUCUCAUGUACAUCACAGAAAGACUGGACAUCGCCAUGGGGAAAAUAUACUACCUCCACAAGCAAAACCAAUACCCCAGUAUUCAACUCAACACACACCGACUCACAAACACCAAAAUUAUUUGAACGAAAAACUACCUUGAAAAAAAAAUUGCAAAACAUAAAAAUAUUUACAAAGCCUUAAUAAAUUACUUCAACAUUUAAAUGUAUAAUAAUCUAAGAAAAUUGUAUUUCCUUAAUUUAAAAGCACCUCUAUAGAAUAAGAAAGCUUGAAUUUAAU